GAUGAACGCUGGCGGCGUGCUUAAUACAUGCAAGUCGAGCGAAAAGACCAGGAGCUUGCUCCUCUCACGUUAGCGGCGGACGGGUGAGUAACACGUGGAUAACCUACCUAUCAGUCUGGGAUAACUAAGGGACACCGGAUCUAAUACCGGAUAAUAUAUUGCACCGCAUGGUUCAAUAGUGAAAGACGGUUUUGCUGUCACUAAUCGAUGGAUCCGCGCUGCAUUAGCUAGUUGGUAAGGUAACGGCUUACCAAGGCAACGAGGCGUAGACGACCUGUUCGGGGGGUCGGCCACACGAGAACGGAGACACGGUCCAGACUACUACGGGAGGCAGCAGAAGGGAAUCGUACGCAGUGGGCGAAAGCCUGACGGAGCAACGCCGCGUGAGUGACAAAGGUCUUCGGAUCGUAAUACUCUGUUAUUAGUGAAGAACAAAUGUGUAAGGAACUAUGCACUUCUUGACGGUACCUAAUCAGAAAGCCACGGCUAACUACGUG
rnacentral:rRNA from 1 species